rfam:Triticum aestivum genome assembly, contig: Triticum_aestivum_CS42_TGACv1_scaffold_577175_7BL
UUUAUACUCCCUCCGUCCCAAAAUUCUUGUCUUAGAUUUGUCUAGAUGCGGGUGUAUCUAAUACUAAAACAUGACUUGAUACAUCCGUAUUUAGAUGAAUCUAAGACAAGAAUUUUUGGACGGAGGGAGUACUUG